AACGAACGCUGGCGGCAGGCUUAACACAUGCAAGUCGAGCGCGUAGCAAUACGAGCGGCAGACGGGUGAGUAACACGUGGGGAUCUGCCCAAUGGUACGGAAUAACUCAGGGAAACUUGUGCUAAUACCGUAUGUGCCCGCAAGGGGAAAGAUUUAUCGCCAUUGGAUGAACCCGCGUCAGAUUAGCUAGUUGGUAGGGUAAAGGCCUACCAAGGCGACGAUCUGUAGCUGGUCUCAGAGGAUGAUCAGCCACACUGGGACUGAGACACGGCCCAGACUCCUACGGGAGGCAGCAGUGGGGAAUAUUGGACAAUGGGCGCAAGCCUGAUCCAGCCAUGCCGCGUGAGUGAUGAAGGCCUUAGGGUUGUAAAGCUCUUUCGCCGACGAAGAUAAUGACGGUAGUCGGAGAAGAAGCCCCGGCUAACUUCGUGCCAGCAGCCGCGGUAAGAC
rnacentral:rRNA from 1 species